UACGAAAGGGGCUAGCGUUGCUCGGAAUCACUGGGCGUAAAGGGUGCGUAGGCGGGUCUUUAAGUCAGGGGUGAAAUCCUGGAGCUCAACUCCAGAACUGCCUUUGAUACUGAAGAUCUUGAGUUCGGGAGAGGUGAGUGGAACUGCGAGUGUAGAGGUGAAAUUCGUAGAUAUUCGCAAGAACACCAGUGGCGAAGGCGGCUCACUGGCCCGAUACUGACGCUGAGGCACGAAAGCGUGGGGAGCAAACAGG
rnacentral:rRNA from 1 species